rnacentral:lncRNA from 1 species
CCCCCCAAGUCUCAAAUAUUGAAGAAUCUCUAACCAGGGACACCAGUCCCUACGAAGACCUUGGGCGAUUUUGAAGUGCGGGCACCUCGAUUCCCCGAAUCUGUAGUGUGGCUGGUAUCGGUGUUCCCCUGGUUUAACUAGCCUGUUUGAGAUCCUGGCAAAUGGGUGUUUCUUCCCAGAAAGGGAUUUUUCUCCAUGACUGCAGUUGAAUUGCAGAGUUGUAGAGACAUCCAGGUUCUUGUUAGUGUGGACGAACUAUCCAUGAAGAUCUUAAAUGCAGGAGUCUAUGAGAACACCAAUUAAUCAAUUGUCAAAUAUUUGAGUAUCUAUUGUGAGCAAGGCACUGUAUAACCAUUAUGUCAUGUAUUAAUCUAUUGGAAAAUAAUUUGACCUUGGUUGUAUAGUAUUUUGUUUAUUUUUACCUUAAAUUUUGUAACUCUAUUAUAAGUGUUUACAUACCAACUAUUUGAGGGCUGUAUGCAAGGUAUAGUUUUAUUGUACUUUGCUUCUUCUGUUACAAUAAAGUACAAGUACAGUAAAAUAAU